GGCCUUAUGGUGAAUGUCAUGUCAAAUUGCAAAUUUGAAGAGGUAGAUAAAUAUCUACUAAGGCUU
rnacentral:tRNA from 1 species